ACGCUUUCAGCCGCGCGCGCCCUCUAGCUCGCCCGCGCGCGCCGGCGCCCCCUCCCCGCCACGUGACCGGCGUCCCAGUCCGACCCGCGCGCUGCGCCGGUGCUGAGCCGUGCGGAGCUACCGCGCCCUGUCAGACUCUCCCCUGGGUCCCUGUCUGACGAGCUCUAGGCAACCUGCCCUCGUUCGGGACACAAACGUCGAUCUCACCCCUCAGUUUCUGCCAGAGAAAAAGGAAAAGUCACCGAGAGGCCUGACCCUGACGGGUGGGGGGAGAUGUGCGUGCGGAGUAGCGGGAAGCGACUGAGGAACGGGGACUGGGCAGCAUUUGAAUGGAUGCGGGUGCCGCUGGCACCCGGGAAGACGCUGGGGGCCGGCGCUGUAGAGCCAGGCAUGGGCUGGGAUGUGUUUGGAUUCCAAUCUGGGCCUGACACCAGUUCAGUGACCUCGGGAAGUUCCCCAACCCUCCGGGCCUGUUUCCUCCCUCUGAAGUGGCGACAGUAAUAGAACCGACCUCGUAGACUCAUUCGGAGGUCCUGAUAGGAGAACCCAUGCAACUUGCCACCACAGAGCCAGGCCCGCGGCGGUUGGCGCCUGAUGGGUAUUAAAGACGAGUCGGGAAAGAAGAGCAGUCAUGGAAUAAGGCCAUACCCUGUGGGUAGGGUAUAAAGGUUUCUCUCUAUAUAGUAGGUGUUCUCAUUAUCAGUCAUUCAAAGAAAAAGAGAAUCCUCACCAGAAAAACUUGGAACAUGGAACAGAUGGAAGGUGGCACUUCUGGAUAUGCCUUUUUACAUCUGAACUUGGAAGAGUUAAGAAUUGUUGAAGGCCCUUCUCACAGAUCAGGGGAAAUAGCUUCUGUCACAGAGCUGCCUACUCCAGGAGAACCAAAAAUGAAAGUAAACACUCAUAUUUUGUAAGUCUGUUCCUGAACUUCCGUCAAUCAAGUUUAAUCUAAAUCAAGGAUUCAAACUGAGAAGCAUUUAAAGACCAAGAAAAAGUUAAUUAGCCCAGUAUAAGUCAACAAGAAAUGGUAAGCAGUAUGGGGGAAAAGGAGUGCUACACCCUUCUAGGCAUCCAAAUUCAAGCAUUUACAAUGUACUGCAUGAAGCAGUACCCUAUACAGCACUAAUAACAGCCCAAACUUGCUUGACAUUUCUACAUAAUACAUUAUUCAUUAAUUCAGAAGAAAAAUAGAAUUCUUAAAACUCCUAACUUUAUUUUUAAUUAAUAUAAAGGAUGAACCAACAACAACAAAAAAUUGUGUGGGCGUUAGAAAAUAAGGACUAGGCGCCUGGGCACGGUGGCUCACGCCUGUAAUCCCAGCACUUUGGGAGGCUGCAGUGGGCAGAUCACAAGGUCAGGAGAUUGAGACCAUCCUGGCUAACACGGUGAAACCCCGUCUCUACUAAAAAAUAGAAAAAAUUAGCUGGGCGUGGUGGUGGGCACCUGUAGUCCGAGCUACUCUGGAGGCUGAGGCAGGAGAAUGGCGUUAACCCGGGAGGCGGAGCUUGCAGAGAGCCGAGAUUGCCCCACGGCACUCCAGCCUGGGCGACAGAGCAAGACUCUGUCUCAAAAAACAAAAAAAGGAAAAGAAGGACUAGGCAGGCAGAUGUGGGGUGGGGCAAAAUAAACAUGGCAGCCAGCAGACCAGUCUGUUUCAGCAUAGUCUCUGCUGCAGUAUUUAAGAAAUAGGUAGAGCCAGCCGGGCACGGUGGUUCACGCCUGUAAUCCCAGCACUUUGGGAGGCCGAGGCGGGCGGAUCACCUGAGGUCUGGAGUUCAAGACUAGCCUGACCAACAUGGAGAAACCGCGUCUCUACUAAAAAUACAAAAUUAGCCAGGCAUGGUGGCACAGGCCUGUAAUCCCAGCUACUUGGGAGGCUGAGGCAGGAGAAUCACUUGAACCCAGAAGGCAGAGGUUGUGGUGAGCCCAGAUCGUGCCAUUGCACUCCAUCCUGGGCAACAAGAGUGAAAUUCUCCAUCUCAAAAACAAAGAAAUAGGUAGAGCCGGGUGUGGUGGCUCACGCCUGUAAUCCCAGGAGGCUGAGUUCGGUGGAUCACUUGAGAUCAAGAGUUUGAGACUAGCCUGGCCAACAUGUGAAACCCCAUCUCUGCUAAAAAAAAAAAAACAAAAAUUAGUCGGGCAUGGUGGCAGGCACCUGUAAUCGCAGCUACUUGGGAGGCUGAGGCAGGAGAAUCGCUUGAACCCCAGAGGCAGAGGUUGCAGUGAGUUGAGAUCGCAUGACUGCAGUCCAACGACAGGGUAAGACUCCGUCUCAAAAAAAAAAGGUAGAAAGCAGAAUGCUUCCUCCCGGUGCCAAGGGUGAUUUAUGAAAGAUCCCCAAGGAAAAGUUGAAUAUCAGAAUGAGAGUCAUUUUGGCAGUCCCAUCCCUGUUUGGAGACACUCCUUUCGUUGUUACUUUUGGCAGAUGAGGAUUUGAGUUUAAGAGACCUGGUGGAUUUCCGUACAACCUCAUAAUUUCCCCCUAUCCAAGACCCAUGGUUCCAUUUUUGUCACUGGCCACAGUGGCUGAAAUGGCUCACUUCAUCCUUUGCACUAAACAGCCUUCAGCCCCACACUGCACCACUAAAUGGACAAGUUCUUUUUUCUCUAGUGUCUUAAAUUCAUGGCCUCAGUCUGAGGGCUUUAGUUUUAUACUGCUUUGGGAGAGUCCUCUUUAAAGUCUUAGAGAUAUACAUAUACCUCUUACUGUUUACCACCUCUAAUUUAAUAGCAAGAAAGAAACUGGAAAUCUUGUAGGAAUACUCUCUGUUCCUUUUUUUUUUUUGAGACAAAGUCUCACUCUUGUCACCAGGCUGGAGUGUAAUGGUGUGAUCUUGGGAUCUUGGUUCACCGCAACCUCUGCCUCUCAGGUUCAAGUGAGUCUCCUGCCUCAGCCUCCCCAGUAGCUGGGAUUAUAGGCACCUGCCAACACGCCUGGCUAAUUUUUAUAUUUUUAGUAGAGACGAAGUUUCACCAUGUUGGCCAGGCUGGUCUCGAACACCUGACCUCAGGUUAUCUGCCCGCCUCGGCCUCCCAAAGUGCUGGGAUUACAAGUGUGAGCCACUGUGCCUGGCCGAGGAACACUCUUUGUUCUAUGCUACCUACCAGGACAGCUAGUCUACUCAGUUACCCCAAAACCAAAAGCAUAGUAACUCAACAAGCUCAGAAUACACCAUUCUGCUUGCAGCCAUUGUUUUCACCACUACCCCAUUUCCCCCUGCACACAUAGCUCAUUACCUUGUCACAUGUACAUUUAAUGUAGUCACAGCAGGAGCUAGAAUCUGGAGAUGUUACAUGCCACACAAGAGGUCAGUGAGAAACACAAAACCAUAUUGCAAAUGGGUAACAUAUCAGUGUGACCAUCCAAGCAGAGGAUUAGCUAUGGCCUUCAUCUCAUGUUCCCAUUAGGCUCAGAUGGGCUAGAUAAUGGGAUUUUGCUCCUAUUUCCAAUUCAAAGAUAGUCAACCUGGGAGCUUUCUAACUCUAUCAUAUGUAUUUCAUUUGUUUCACUAGUUACUCAUUUGAUCAACCCAGGGAAGACCAUAUCAUGAAUGAAACACACACAGCCCAAGUAUGCUUUAACCAUAACGUGGAGUGCAUAAUUCAGGCUACCAAGACCAUUUAACAGAAUCCAGUGGAAUGAGGGAAGUCUGGACUACAGGAGUUAGUGGGGGAAUUCUCAGUCACUGGAACCAUGCUUCUGAACAAAGGCCUUCACCAAGAACCUAGGGUAAUCUUAUUCCAUCUGCCAGAACUUAUAGGGAUAUCACUAAAUUAUGCUUAGUCAAAAUUGGGUAAUUUGUAGUUUAUAAGUACUAUAAAACUGAUAUUUAAAUCUAGGUCUACUUAAUUCCUAGCUUCUGUUCUUAAGUGCUGGAUUAUUUUGAUUCAUUUAUUUUGUUCAAAAUCUUGACAUUAUAGGAAAAGAUGGGGAUGAGGAGGAUGAUGAGGCAGGAAAAUGCAGAACUGUUUCAUAGUCCCAACGCUGAACCUUUGUACAGGCUGUUUCUUCUUCAUAUAAAGCACUUCUUGGCCAGGCGUGGUGGCUCACGCCUAUAAUCCCAGCUCUUUGGGAGGCUGAGGUGGGCGGGUCACUUGAGGUCAGGAGUUCGAGACAAGCAUGGCCAACAUGGUGAAACCCAAUCUCUACUAAAAAUACAAAAAAAUUAGCCAGGUGUGGUAGUGCGCCUGCAGUCCCAGCUACUUGGGGGGCUGAGGCAGGAGAAUCGUUUGAACCAGGGAGGCAGAGGUUGCAGUGAGCCGAGAUCGUGCCACUGCACUCUAGCCUGGGUGACAGAGCGAGACUCCAUCUCAAAAACAAUAAAUAAAUUUUAAAAAAAAAAAGCACUUCUUCCUUCCACUUGGUAAACUGUGUACAGAGUAACAUGGAGAUGGAGGAGAGGCAGGUAGAUUAAGGGGGAGCAGUUUUAGUAAUUCUACUAUAUGAUUCAGACCUCUUUUUAAUUCAGCUUUCCUGCUAAUGAAUGUAAAUUAGUAAGGUUUCUGCUGGGCACGGUGGCUCAUGCCUGUAAUCCCAGCACUUUGGGAGGCCGAGGCGGAUGGAUCACGAGGUCAAGAGAUCAAGACCAUGCUGGCUAACAUGGUGAAACCCCGUCUCUACUAAAAAUACAAAAAAAAUUCGCCAGGCGUGGUGGCAGGCGCCUGUAGUCCCAGCUACUCAGGAGGCUGAGGCAGGAGAAUGGCGUGAACCUGGGAGGCGGAGCUUGCAGUGAGCGGAGAUCGCGCCACUGCACUCCAGCCUGAGUGACAUAGUGAGACCCUGUCUCAAAAAAAAAAAAUUAAUAAGGUUUCAUAAUUAUUAUAUUUACCAACCAGGUUCUUUCUACAUAAUUAUUGUUUACCUUCUAAUAAAUUACUUAGAAAGGCCACCUACAAAUCCAAAUUAUAUACAAAAUGUUUCAUUUCCUAUUUGCUUCCCAGGGAUGCAUAAUUAUUUUGGAAAAAUCAUUGGCAGCUGGGUACGGUGGCUCAUGCCUGUAAUCCCAGCACUCUGGGAGGCCAAGGCAGGCGGAUCCACCUGAGAUCAGGAGUUCAAAACCAGCCUGGCCAACAUAGUAAAACCCCAUCCUUACUAAAAAUACAAAAAUUAGCUGGGCGUUGUGGUGCACGCCUAUAGUCCCAGCUACUCAGGAGGCUGAGGCAGGAGAAUCGCUUGAACCUAGGAGGCAGAGCUCGCAGUGAGCUGAGAUGGUGCCACUGCACUCCAGCCUGGGUGACAGAGCGAGACUGUCUCUUAGGGAAAAAAAAAAAAAUAAUUGGCUUGUAAGUUAAAAUCUUUAUCUUGCUCUACCUUGUCUGGAAUACCUACAUCUCAUGUCUUUUUAACAUUACAUAUUCACAAGCUUUACCAAUUCAUGGAAAGGAUUCCUCUAGGAUUUUGGUGGAUCUCUUGAAGCACUAAGAACCUCAAGCAAAAAUGUAUGCAAUCUUUGUACUUUAAAAUUAAAGUAUUUCAACCAGGAGCAGUGGCUCAUGCCUGUAGUCUCAGCGCUUUGGGAGGCCAAGGCAGGAUGAUUGCUUAAGCCUUGGAGUUUGAGACUAGUCUGGCCAACAUAGCCAGACCCCGUUUCUUUAAAAAAAAAAAAAAAAAAAGCAAUUAGCUGCAUGUAGUGUCACACACUUGUAGUAUCAGCUUUGGGAGGCCCAGAUGGGAAGAUUGCUUGAUCUCAGGAGGUUGAGGCUGCAAUGAGCUAUGAUCAUGCCACUGCACUCCAGCCUGGGUGAUAGAACAAGACCCUGUCUCAAAAAAAAAUUUUUUUAAUAGAUAAACAUUCAGGCAUUCCAAACUCCUAAUGUGUUGUCUACUAUUAAGAAUGCAUGCUGGCUGAGGCAGGAGUUCAAGACCAGCCUGGCCAACAUGAUGAAACCCCAUCUCUACUAAAAUACAAAAAUUAGCUGGGCCAGGUGGUGGGUGCCUAUAAUCCCAGCUACUCAGGAGGCUGAGGCAGGAGAAUGUCUUGAACCUGCGAGGUGGAGAUUGCAGUGAGCCGAGAUCUCACCACUGCCUUCCAGCCUGGGCAACAGAGUAAGACUCCGUCUCCAAAAAAAAAAAAAAAAAAAGAAUCUGUGGAAUUUAACAUUCCUUUAAACUUAAAAAAUAAGAAAGAAUAAAUUAAAAAAAAAUUAGAAGAAUGCAUGCUGGGGUCUGCUCAGUGAUUCACAAAGCAGGAAAUCUUUUGAGCCAAGGAGUUUGAGACCAACCUGGGCAAAGUGGCAAGACCCUGUCUCUACAAAAAAAUUAAAAAUUAGCAGGGCAUGGUGGCACACUUCUAUAGUCCUAGCUACUUGGGAGGCUGAGGCAGGAGAGUCAUUUGGGCUCAUGUGUUUGAGGUUACACUGAGCUUUGAUCACACCACUGCACUCCAGACUGGGCAACAGAGCAAGACCUUAUCUCAAGAAAACAAACAAAAAAAGAAUUCAGGGCUGGGGGUGGUGGCUCACACCUGUAAUCCCAGCACCUUGGGAGGCCAAGGCAGGCAAAUGACUUGAGGUUAGGAGUUUAAGACCAGCCUGGCCAACAUAGUGAAACCCUGUCUGUACUAAAAAUACAAAAAUUAGCUGGGUGUGGUGGCAGGCGCCUUUAAUCCCAGCUACUUCGGUGGCUGAGGAAGGAGAAUCGCUUGAGCCCAGGAGGUGGAGGUUGCAUUGAGCCAAGAUCGUGACACUACUCCAGCCUGGACGACAGAGCGAGACUCUGUCUGAAAAAAAAAGUUCAGGUGGGAGGAUCCCUUGAGGACAGGAGUUCAAGACCAGCCUGGGCAAUGUAGCAAGACCUUGUCUCUUAAAAAAAAAAAAAAGAAUGCAAAAGCUAUAGAACAUUUUCCUAGGAGAGAAUGCUAGGAGGAAGGAGGGAAACAGUAUAUUUUAAGGUAAAUAAGAAAGGCCUAAUGCCCCGUGGAUAGAUUUUUCUAUCUACAUAUUGGAGAUAAGUUUAAAUUUUGUGUUAAUGUUUGGGUAUUACUUCCUGCCAACGUGAAUAGUUAACCUUUCUAAGACAAUCUCUACUAAGAAUUUGGACUUUUUCAAGAUUUUUGCCUACUUCUUUCAAAGAGAUUGCAAAACAAUUUUAACUCACUAAAGAACGUUUUUCACCUCUUGAUUGUCCAGUACAAGUGUAGUACAGUUCUUUUUUAUCUAUCCUCCCUUUGUUUUUAUAGACUGGAAGGUAUCCAGAAAUAAGGCAUUCAGAAAUGGAGACACACAUAGAUGAAGGCAAAGGCCAUUCCUAUGAAGGGAGGUCUGUAGGCAGCUGGUUAUUUGUUUUUCUCAUCCUCUCUUGGCAUUCUACCUUCAUCUGGAAAAAAAAUUAAAAAGGAGGAUACUUUAUAGGCCCUGUCUCAAGUAUCUGACUUCCCUGGGAAGCUCGAUUCUCACAUUCAAAAUAUGUGGGGAGUUUGGUUCAGUUAAAUUUUAUCACACCAGAAUUGUUGAAAAGCAAUAAAUUAUUACUGUAUAAUUGGUGCCUGUUUGUUAUCUUAGGUAUUGUUAUUUCUGUUUUUAACUUGUUUGGAAAACCAUAGACCAUAAACUUUUCUCAACGUUUGAUGCAGAGCUCCAACCGAACUAGCAAAGAACAUUUCCUCAAAGAAAUGGAGUAUUUUUUUCUGAAACAAUUUAACUUUCUGUCUUUCAUUCUUCAAAAUGUAUCACUAUAAAUUUCCUACAAAAAGAGCUAUUUCUUCUCUCAGUAUCAUACAGAUUGAUUUGUAUAGAUGUAUAUGUAUGGCUGUUAAAUUAUUUGUUGGUAUAAAAUGGUGAGUGUCAGUAUAAUAAUGAUGAUAAUAAAUAGUAGCUAACAUUUAAAGCACAUACUCUGUUCCAGGCACUGUUGUAAGCAUUUUACAUCGAGUUGCUCAAUCUAAAACCACUUUUAUCUGGUUGUCUUUAUUUAUCUAGCAAAACUCUUAAGAAUCUAUGCUGCAAUAAAUUCCACAACUCAGCCUUCACCUUCCCAACAAAAAUAACUAGAAUUCCAGUGUUUUCUCUUUAUCAGUUUGUCUCCAGGAAGUUGUCAACAUUUUAGAACCAUGCUAGUCCCCAAGACUUGAUGUGAAUAUACAAUAGGUAGCUGCAUUGCCUGUCUUAGGACAUAGACCAGUAAACAAAACCAGAGGUAACUUUGCACUUAGUAUAAGCCCUUGAUGUUAGCUUCACUGAAGUAGGAGAGGCAAUAAAAAUGUUGACUUGAAGUCUGCUCUACCUUUCACCAUCUUUCAGAAAAAUAUUGAUCAGGACUAGCCUCCUCAGCAAAUGUAGGCCUAUAUAAAAAUAUAUUUCUUCAUCCUUUAUGAUGUAAUAAAGACUAAUGGCUUAAACUUAGAAAUCUAACAAAGUGACAAUAGUUUUUUUCUCCCAAUUCAGACCUAUUUCUGUUCUUAAAAAGACAUUUAAGCCAGGUGCAGUGGGUCACGCCUGUAAUCCCAGCACUUUAGGAGGCCGAGGUGGGCGAAUCACAAGGUCAGGAGUUCGAGACCAGUCUGGGCAACAUGGUGAAACCCCGUCUACAGUGAGACUCCAUCUCAAAGAAAAAAAAAGACAUUAAGUCUCAUACAGUUAUGAAAUUUCACAGUUCCAGAAAGCUUUAGUAAUCAAAAUAUAGAUUUAAGACACUUAUUCGUCAUUUCACUUAAUUCAUCCAUCUAUUCAUUUAUUCAUUCAUUCCAUCUUUAUUGAAUACCUACUAUGUGCAGUGCAGUUACUCCAAUCUUAUCCAACAUUGGACUACUAAUUAGUAAGAUUUUUGUAAUUCUAUUUUUAAAUUAUUCCUUUACAUGGGACAAAAUUCAAAAGGUAUAAUAUACAAUGAAAAGGAAAUCUUGCACCCCAGUUCCCCGCCAUUCAUCUCACCUCCUCAAACAAAAAACAAGAAAAAGAACAAUUAGGCCGGGCAUGGUGGCUCACACCUGUAAUCCCAGUACUUUGGGAGGUCAAGUGGGCAGAUCACAAGGUCAGGAGUUUGAGGCCAGCCUGACCAACAUGGUAAAACCCCAUCUCUACUAAAAAUACAAAAA